rnacentral:rRNA from 1 species
UAGGGAAUCUUCGGCAAUGGACGAAAGUCUGACCGAGCAACGCCGCGUGAGUGAAGAAGGUUUUCGGAUCGUAAAACUCUGUUGUUAGAGAAGAACAAGGACGUUAGUAACUGAACGUCCCCUGACGGUAUCUAACCAGAAAGCCACGGCUAACUACGUGCCAGCAGCCGCGGUAAUACGUAGGUGGCAAGCGUUGUCCGGAUUUAUUGGGCGUAAAGCGAGCGCAGGCGGUUUCUUAAGUCUGAUGUGAAAGCCCCCGGCUCAACCGGGGAGGGUCAUUGGAAACUGGGAGACUUGAGUGCAGAAGAGGAGAGUGGAAUUCCAUGUGUAGCGGUGAAAUGCGUAGAUAUAUGGAGGAACACCAGUGGCGAAGGCGGCUCUCUGGUCUGUUACUGACGCUGAGGCUCGAAAGCGUGGGGAGCCAACAGG